UGGGGAAUAUUGCACAAUGGGCGCAAGCCUGAUGCAGCCAUGCCGCGUGUAUGAAGAAGGCCUUCGGGUUGUAAAGUACUUUCAGCGGGGAGGAAGGCGAUGCGGUUAAUAACCGUGUCGAUUGACGUUACCCGCAGAAGAAGCACCGGCUAACUCCGUGCCAGCAGCCGCGGUAAUACGGAGGGUGCAAGCGUUAAUCGGAAUUACUGGGCGUAAAGCGCACGCAGGCGGUCUGUCAAGUCGGAUGUGAAAUCCCCGGGCUCAACCUGGGAACUGCAUUCGAAACUGGCAGGCUAGAGUCUUGUAGAGGGGGGUAGAAUUCCAGGUGUAGCGGUGAAAUGCGUAGAGAUCUGGAGGAAUACCGGUGGCGAAGGCGGCCCCCUGGACAAAGACUGACGCUCAGGUGCGAAAGCGUGGGGAGCAAACA
rnacentral:rRNA from 1 species